CGCUGGUUCCAUCCCUAUGUCAGGAAGAUUCCCUGGAGAAACUGUUCAGUAUUACAAAUGAGAUGCACUGCUGGAAUGUGUUUUGGCCUCUACUUCCAACAAUUUUUCAGAUGCCUGUACUCCAAGUGAAAUAAAAGAAGUUUAAAUUUUAAAAGUUAAAGACAAAUGGGGAACUAUGCCCCUUGAUCUGAAAUUGUAAAAAGAUUUGCUGUAAGAAACAAGACAUGGAAUAUACUUAAUAUGCCCCAUAAAGUAAGUACUGACAUUAAGUUUUCUGUGACAUAAUUAAUUUUUAUUUUCUAUGGUCCUCUUUAAACUUACAAAUUUUUCAUUUAUCAAAAUUAAUAAAUAUCACAAGUGAACAUUGCCAUUUAACAGUGCUAGCCAAGCC
ensembl:lncRNA